CUGACUUUAGCUUUAGACCCAUUAUUCAAGGAAUGAUGCAUGAGUGUGAUAUGAGACGCAAGUAACUCAACAUAAUAUUUAAACAGUAAAACUGCAGAAAAUUCAUGGUGUAUAGUCAGUAUUUGACUUUACUUUUAUUGUGGCAAAAAAUGCAUUAGACUGAAGCAGUUCUUUCUGAAUUUGCAUUUAAAGAACCAAGCUCUUUUAUUUUAGUCUCUUUCCUCGUGGAAACACUCUCAUAUCUUGACACCCUGAAAUUAAAAGCGGAGAGAUUUAUUUUGGCUGACAGUCUGUAGAGGUUUCAGUCCAUGGUGGGCUGGCUCCAAGGCAGGAAAGCAUGGCAGAGGGGCCUGGCGAAGGAGAUCUGUCAGAGCAUGGCGAACAGGAAGCGGAAGAGAAGGGAGGAGCCGGAAGAAAGGAGAGGACCCUUCCAGGCCCCGCCCCCGUGACCGCCUCUUCCCCCAGGCCCUGCCUCCUGACCCCUGUCAGCUGUGACCUCCGUGAUCCACUCACCUUCCGGAAGCCGGAAGCUGGUGAGUGCCUGAGGCUUCCCGGGACCUGGGAACUGACCGGGCUGCAGGCUCCUCCUCCUCCUCCUCCCGAGAUAGGCGUUCUCAGGUGGCUGCAGAGAACAAAGGCCCCCUCGAGAUCCGACUCACCGUGGAGGCUCUACAGGCCUUCGCUGUUCCCCAGGACCCCCACGCGGGGCUCAUGCCACAGCAGCGCAGUUCAAAAGAUGACCCAGGCCACCGCCAGGCUGCUAGGCCUCACACUGAAGGUGAGACCAGAGCGAGCGGAGGGCACUGGCCGCUCUGGGAAAUCACAGGCUCCAGCAACCAAGACCCAGCCUGGGGCUGAAGGAGACGGAAGCCUGAGCCUGUGUUCAGCUUAUGUCUCAUAG
rnacentral:lncRNA from 1 species